rnacentral:misc_RNA from 1 species
GAUGAAGAACGCAGCGAAAUGCGAUAAGUAGUGUGAAUUGCAGAAUUCAGUGAAUCAUCGAAUCUUUGAACGCACAUUGCGCCCCUUGGUAUUCCAUGGGGCAUGCCUGUUCGAGCGUCAUUUGUACCCUCAGGCUUUGCUUGGUGUUGGGUGUUUGUCCCGCGUUGCGCGUGGACUCGCCUUAAAGCGAUUGGCAGCCGGCAUAUUGGCCUUGGAGCGCAGCACAUUUUGCGCUUCUAGUCAUGAAUGUUGGCGUCCAUUAAGCCUAUACAUUUGCUCUUGACCUCGGAUCAGGUAGGGAUACCCGCUGAACUUAAGCAUAUCAAUAAGCGGAGGA